rnacentral:tRNA from 1 species
GCCCGAUUAACUCAGUUGGUUAGAGUGUCAGACUUGUCAGUACCCCUCUUAGUCAUCAUCAUCUUUCGCACAUUGCUAAUUCCCUCCUAGUUAAUCUGAACGGCGAGGGUUCGAGUCCCUCAUCGGGCG